UGGCCGGCCAUCAGCGGUCUAAGGCGCUGCGUUCAGGUAGCAGUCUCCCCUGGAGGCGUGGGUUCGAAUCCCACUUCUG
rnacentral:tRNA from 1 species